GACGAACGCUGGCGGCGUGCUUAACACAUGCAAGUCGAACGAUGAAACCUAGCUUGCUAGGUCGAUUAGUGGCGAACGGGUGAGUAACACGUGACUAACCUGCCCCUUUCUCUGGGAUAACGCUCCGAAAGGAGUGCUAAUACCGGAUACUCACAUCGAGGCACAUGCCUUGAUGUGGAAAGUUUUUCGGAAAGGGAUGGAGUCGCGGCCUAUCAGCUUGUUGGUGGGGUAACGGCUCACCAAGGCGACGACGGGUAGCCGGCCUGAGAGGGCGACCGGCCACACUGGGACUGAGACACGGCCCAGACUCCUACGGGAGGCAGCAGUGGGGAAUAUUGUACAAUGGGCGCAAGCCUGAUGCAGCGACGCCGCGUGAGGGAUGAAGGUCUUCGGAUUGUAAACCUCUUCCAGUAGGGACGAAGCGAAAGUGACGGUACCUAAAGAAGAAGCACCGGCUAACUACGUGCCAGCAGCCGCCGUAA
rnacentral:rRNA from 1 species